rnacentral:sRNA from 1 species
UCGAGAACUGUUUGUCUGAACGCCCCCAAGAAAACGCCGAGCGGAGCAAAAAGCGGGACGCAGUUUGGGCCAAGUUUUUUGUGGCCCCGUGCGUGCAGAAAAGUCUGAGAAAAGUGUCAGAAAAUUAGUUUUUCCAAAAAGAGACAAGGGGCCAGCAUCGAAUUUCCCGGAUCGAAAGCGUGGAAAAUGUACGCGCAGUAGUGCGGAAAAUGUGCGGCUAACGAAAGGAGGAGCGGAGGAGGUGGGAAAAGUUGCUGCACAUCAACACAACUGGAGAACACGAGAAACUUUUCAUAUCCCCGCAGUGAACGAUAAAAGCAAAAGUAGCAGCAGCCACAG